CCACACCUGAACAUCCGACCACACGCGUAACGAUUAUGAGGGGAGUUCCAAUAUUUAUUUUCGUUUGGAUGUUCCCGAGGGUGCAGGAAGGUGUCCUGGUCUCGCAGAAUGGUAUUCUCAGAUGGAUGUUACCUUCCGCAGCUCCUGCUCGAGGUGCAAGAUCUAGCAGAAAACGCGCAAUAGAAAAAAAGUGGAAGUCAUCAGUGGAAUAUACAUUGUAUACGGCUUGAAUCUGCACAUUUCGAGCGUCCUUGAAUCCAAAUGCCGUGACUGUCUCCGCCCAGCUAAUUCUUUUUUCUCGAAAGAAAUCAGAACAAAAAAAAGAUCCGCAUUUGCCGAAAUCCUUGGAACUAACCUGAAAACGCCAACGAAACCAAACGCUGUCUUUAAGGUACGUUCUUUAUAGUAAUGGACUAUUUUAUCCUUUAUUCAGGUAACGACAUUUGAUGCUUCACUUCGUAAUAGUAUUUAGCUCACUGUGACACUUUACUUAAAUUUGGUGCUUAAUGAUGAAUGUCUAUUGUUGUUGUAAAUAAUUGUGAAAAGUGUGUAUAUGCCUAUGGUGAUACUUUAGAUUCUAGCUAUCCAGUAGUUAUGUUCAAGACAUCCUUGGCACAUGAAGUGAGUCCAUACAUGUUCAAAUUGAUUUUAGUGCUGUCCCAGACUUCUGACCUGUAAUCAUAAAUAUUCUCAUGACGUUUGCAACUC